UCUCCUGUAGCUCAGUGGUUGAGCGCCCGCCUGUUGUUUGGGAGGUCGUGGGUUCGAGUCCUGUUGGGAUAA